UACGAAGGGGGCUAGCGUUGUUCGGAAUCACUGGGCGUAAAGGGCGCGUAGGCGGCUUUAUAAGUCGGGGGUGAAAGCCUGUGGCUCAACCACAGAAUUGCCUUCGAUACUGUAGAGCUUGAGACCGGAAGAGGUAAGUGGAACUGCGAGUGUAGAGGUGAAAUUCGUAGAUAUUCGCAAGAACACCAGUGGCGAAGGCGGCUUACUGGUCCGGUUCUGACGCUGAGGCGCGAAAGCGUGGGGAGCAAACGGG
rnacentral:rRNA from 1 species